UGCUAUGUAGGCCCCUGACAUUGCUGAA
rnacentral:piRNA from 1 species